rnacentral:rRNA from 1 species
UUUAUGAAGGGUAUGAUCUUGGCUCAGAACGAACGCUGGCGGCGUGGAUUAGGCAUGCAAGUCGAACGAGGAAGUGCCCCGUAAGGGGCGCAAGCCUAGUGGCGAAAGGGUGAGUAAUGCAUUGAUAACCUGCCUUUGAGAUGGGAAUAACUGCGUUUCGAGCAAUCGGAACUACCGAAAGGGCUGCUAAUACCCAAUAAAAUUAUUGUUGCUUCGGCAAUAAUAGUCAAAUAGGAGGAAUCGAAAGGUUUCGCUUGCUUAAAGAGGGGUUAAUGUCCUAUCAGCUAGUUGGUGGGGUAAUGGCCUACCAAGGCAAAGACGGGUAGCCGGCUUGAGAGGGUGGUCGGCCACACUGGGACUGAGACACUGCCCAGACUCCUACGGGAGGCUGCAGUCGAGAAUCUUCCGCAAUGGGGGAAACCCUGACGGAGCGACGCCGCGUGCGGGAAGAAGGCCUUCGGGUUGUAAACCGCUGUCACGGGUUAAGAACAGGCAUGGUGUUAAUAGCUCCAUGCCUUGACAAAGGCCCGGGAGGAAGCCACGGCUAACUUCGUGCCAGCAGCCGCGGUAAGACGAAGGUGGCGACCGUUGUUCGGAAUCACUGGGCAUAAAGAGCUCGUAGGCGGCGCUGUAAGUCGGGUGUGAAAUCCCUCGGCCCAACCGAGGAACUGCGCCCGAAACUGCAGUGCUUGAGGACGGGAGGGGAGCGUGGAAUUCCUGGUGGAGCGGUGAAAUGCGUUGAUAUCAGGAGGAACACCGGCGGCGAAGGCGACGCUCUGGUCCGUUUCUGACGCUGAGGAGCGAAAGCUAGGGGAGCAAACAGGAUUAGAUACCCUGGUAGUCCUAGCCGUAAACGAUGGGCACUAGGUAGGGGGGUACCCAAUGCCUCCUUGCUGGAGUUAAUAUAUUAAGUGCCCCGCCUGGGGAGUAUAGUCGCAAGGCUGAAACUCAAAGGAAUUGACGGGGGCUCACACAAGCGGUGGAGCAUGUUGUUUAAUUCGAAGCAACGCGCAGAACCUUACCUGGGCUUGACAUGCUAGUGGUAGGAACCUGAAAGGGGGACGACCCUCGAAAGAGGGAGCUAGCACAGGUGUUGCAUGGCUGUCGUCAGCUCGUGUCGUGAGAUGUCGGGUUAAGUCCCAUAACGAGCGAAACCCCUGUAUCCAGUUGCCAGCGAGUAAAGUCGGGGACUCUGGAUAGACUGCCGGUGUUAAACCGGAGGAAGGUGGGGAUGACGUCAAGUCCUCAUGGCCCUUAUAUCCCGGGCUGCACACGUGCUACAAUGGUCGGUACAAAGGGAUGCUAAGCCGUAAGGUGGAGCGAAACCCAGAAAGCCGAUCCCAGUUCAGAUUGGAGGCUGAAACCCGCCUCCAUGAAGUAGGAAUCGCUAGUAAUCGCGGAUCAGCUACGCCGCGGUGAAUAUGUUCCCGAGCCUUGUACACACCGCCCGUCAAGCCACCCAAGCAAGAUGCACCCAAAAUCGCCUGCCUAACCCGUAAGGGAGGGAAGUGCCUAAGGUGUGUUUUGUGAGGAGGACUAAGUCGUAACAAGGUAGUCGUAGGAGAACCUGCGGCUGGAUCACCUCCUUUCUAAGGAGUAA